CCUCGCAACAUUUGUCACCUGACACGGCCGUAAGCAGGAACCACCGCGUUGCCUUUCGGCGGCUUCCAGUCCUGCUCGCUCGCGCCCUAGUUCCCCUGCCCCCCCUUCUUUUAUUCUCGCGCCCCUCGCCAGAGAUCUUCCAUUCCUCCAAACUGGAUUAUUUAAAAGCGCAAAAGAAAGGAAAAGCAAGGUCAUCUCAACGCUCGCUCAGCCACUCAGGAGGCUGGAUGUCAGUUUUGAAAGAAAUGGCGCUACACUCCACUUCUAGAUUUGGGAAACGAGCGAAAUUAAAGGAAACCGCUGCCUGCAGCCGAGGCGACAUCUGGACACUGAGCGGCGCUGGCGCCGCCAGAGCGGCCGGCCUGGCGCCCCAGCAGGAUCUUUGGUGCGGGAGAACCUGUUUAACAUCUAGGCUCCACACCUCCAGGAAGAGAGAAACGGGACGUCGAUGAAGAUCUCAGUCCCAGGCGCGUCCCACGGAGGCCGCUCCCCUGCACUCAUGCGCCCCCUGCCGGCGAGGUCCCAGGGCCCCAGCUACCUGGAUCGGGCGCCUCCCGAAGCGAUUGACUCCGUUGGGAUCCGCACCGGCUUCCAGGAGCUGCUGCACAGUGUCUACUUGCCCCCGCGCGGAGGCGUUGGCCAGGCCCGCGCCGUCGCUGCCACCACGGAGCAUGCCCUUGUCCUCCUCGCGCAUUUCGCGGUCGGCAGACGCAGACUGGCCCGGAUAAUCCACCGCUGGCCGUGAGCUUCGCUACACUCCUCCCUUCUUCCCAAACCUCGCCCGGGCGCGCUCUCCCCUACGUUGGGAGGGCUCAGGUACAUAGUUGGAUGAGAUGUCCUGUGAGAAGGAAUGCAUAUAACAGAAAGUGAGGCAAAAGAGCAAGAAAGAGUGUAUGAUGAGCUCCGAGGACAAACCAUGCCUUGUUUGUUCCCUACCCUGCAAUUUUGGCGGAGGGCCAUGUACUAACUUGGUACUGAAUAAUCAUUUUUCAACGUACUAAAUGCCUCCUGCUGUCACUCUGGAGCAUUAAUAAAUCUGAAGAUUAGUCUUCAUAACGGAAGCAUGAAAGUUCCGAUGUAGGGCUACCUUCCAGAUGACUUCUUUCUACCACACUCUUCCUCCCCAAUAUGGUGAUUUUUUUCACCCUUUCAUGGCUUGGGACAUAGAGACUGUUUUUCUGCAGAAACCACAUGCCUUGGAGGAAUGGGGUGCACCUAUCUCCACUGUUCAGUGCAAUACAACAGACUUGGCAUUGCAUUUGGCACUGGGGAUGCAAAGUUGAUGAAGGUUUGGUUCCUGCCUUCCAAAUGCCAAUAAUCCUUGGAGAAGAUAUGCAAACAUGUGAACACUGUAUAAUAUGAUAUGCAUGCCAGUGGAGUCUGUUUCCUAGCCUGUCCACAAACAGCUCUGUUGGCUGCGAAGUGACCCUGGAGCUCUGCAGCCUCACCGGAGUCUUGGGAAGGGGCAAAGGCGCCGGCUGUGCAGCUUGCUGGAGCCAGAUGCUGUCUUCUCUCUAACCAUUUUGACCUGUGUGACCCUGCACACGUGAUAUAUCCCCAGUCACAGGCCAGAGUACAGCUUCAAUCACAAUGUACCCUUCUGAAAUCAAGAUGUUUCACCCUCGAUAAAGAAUAAAUAAUGGCACUCAUGUUGAUCUGACCACCAGAUUCAUCCACCCCCAGAUAUCUGGAUAACACUGACACUCAAAUGACAACUCGGGCAACAAUACCCCACUUUUUGUUAGGGCAAAAGACAGUGGUUCACUCUUUUCUGAAUCUGGUCAUUGUUGGAUGAAGAAUUGGAAGCUGUCCUGAGAUCAUGAGGGAAUAACUCUGAAGACAAAACUACAUGCUAAGAAUGGCAGAGAACCUGGGUCUUGAUGAUGUCACCGAGUCACUGGCUGAAUCUGCUCUGAAACUAUUAGGAGACAGUCCUUACUGGUUAAGCUGGAAGGAGCAAGUUGCACACCCCACCUUGCGGAACAUGAUGCUUGGUAACCAAGGUUGGAAGAAAUCCUUGUAUGUAGCAGUUGGCGGCCAUGAUGACAUGAAAGGAGAGAGGGCAGAGAGGAAAUCAGAAGGCUGAGAAGUUCUGUAGACGGAGAAUUAUUCACCAACUCCCAAGGUCCUUGCUGAAGUGGCUUCCAGUAGUGUCUUCAAGUUAAAACCCAAGAUCCAUAGCAUGGCCUCACAAAAUCCUUCAUCAGCUGGCCAUUUCUCCAACCUCCUCUCAUCUCUCACCAUGAUGUUGGCCUUGGCUUCCCAGUAUUCUGUCUCCAUUCACACGGAACUAUCUGGAGGGACUGGGGUGAACACCUCUUGGCUGUCGGAAAAAUCAAAUCCGUCAUUGAAAGACAGAGUGCUACCGGUGAAGAGGCCAUCUUUGAGAACUCCACCUAAACAACGGAAAUACAUAUAUAUUCAUCUGCGCAUUGAAUCCGCACAUAGCGAAGGCCGCACACACCACAGAGGGGGUCUGACACCAGCCGCGGCUUGUCCUCUAUCCCAGUCGGCUAGGAUUAUGAUAAAUGAGGUCAGUGGAAGGCUUGGUCUGGGUUGUCCCGUUGUGUGUUUGUGUCUUCCUGUCCUCUGGGCUUGAGUCCCCUGCUGCUCUGUGUCAGUUAGCCGAGUGCUGGGUCACAUCCAGCGCUGUCCAGGCUUUAUGGGUCCCUUUCUUGAAUCAAAGCUGAUUUUCCAUGGAAGAGAAUGCUGUCUCCGGCAGUUGUUCAAAAUGUAGCAUCUCAAAUGUAGACCCUUCAACUGUGUUUACAUGCCUUGUGCAGGCUCUUUCUUUUCUUAGCUUUCAAUUCUUCAGCUGUAGAAUAUGCUGGGAUGUGAUUCCUGUGUUAUUCAAGGGUGAUUUACAGAUCGCCUUGACCAAUGUGUGUGCGCACCUUGCCUGUGACUGGGGCAGUGGUGGCAAGGCCUUUAGAGACAUCUGUGACUUUUGAUGGAAGGAAAUGGUUUCUUACUGAGAGUCACCCAGUCCUUAAAUCCCUCUAGUCUGUCUGUGAGUUCCAUGCUGCCUUCAUGAUUGCUCAGCUUUGCUGAAUACUGUCCUCUUGCUAUUUAGUUAAGAUUUUGCUGUUUUUUGAAACCCUAUAAAUGUGAAAUCUCUCUCUCUCUCUCUCUCUCUCUCUCACGUACACGAAUAACAGUGAAUAACUCAUAAAUAUGAAAAGUAAAAUUUUGAAUUUUAACUCAGAAAAAUCAACAUUAUCGAUAAGGUACUGGUAUCAUAUUUCUAAAGUGGAAAUUCAUGAAUAAAAUAGAUUCUUAGGCACUUACUAACACCAAGAACAUCUUACCAGCACUUUCUCACUUAACUUCUAACAACUUCUGAAGACAGGUGUGCCUUAUUGUAGCAAUCAAGCGACUGUAACUUGCCAAGGCCACGGUAAGCGUGGGGCCAGGCCAGAGGCCUGCUGUCUGGACACCCGAUGUCCCACACUGUUAAUUAUUCUUUAUGCUGAGCCUUAGCUACGUUGCAGCUGUUUGUUCAUUAAAUUCAUAAUCCUGCUUUCAUCAUAGUAAAAACAGUAAUAAUCACACAACAGAACUAUUUGCAGUGGCCCCUGGCCAAGGCCAUUUGAUCCAGAGUCAAAACCUCAUAUUUAUAUAGUGUUUUUACUUUGUCAAAAUCUAAUAAGGGUGGUUUUCAUAUCUGAGAGCAAUCAAACUGAUGUCUAUUUAGUAUAGAGACAUAUCAAAUUUUUAAUUGCAUAUAUUUUAGUCCAUUUCUAUCUUAUCAUUCUCUAUGUUUUGGAAAGUUGAGAGCUCAAAAGUGCUUUUGAAACAUUUCUUCUCCAAGGACAGGAGAUGAUUAGGUGUCCCUUUUAAAAGGCAAUGCUUUUUAGUGGAAGAGUGGAGAUGGGAAUUCAUGUCCCUGAGAGUUUAUUUUCCUUUCUAAUAACACCACAAAAUCUGGUGUCUAUCUGAAGACAUGGGUUCCUUGUCUAUUAAUAGCCCUACUAUUAUUAAUGUGCAGUGACUGGAUAUGCCAAGAUUUUACUGAAGGUAUGGAGAACUGAAAAGGUUUCAGUUAUAUUAGAAAGCCUUUGGAGUUUUUUCAACAUGUUAUAUGACUGGAACCUGAAAAUAUGACAAGAGGGAAGGAAAUGAGAAUGCAUUGAGAAUCUGUUAUUUGACAGACAUAUCAGUAGGCACUUUUCCUGUAAUAACCUUGUGAAACUGAUAUUAACUCUGUGUUGCAGGGGAUGAAAGACCAGAGAAAUUAGUAAUUGUUCCCAAAUUGUUCCCUAAAAGUGUUCGAACCUAGUCUGUCCAAUACUGAAGCUUUUACACUUUUUAUUUCCUUGCCUCCAUAUAGUUUGAAAAACUCAAAAACAUCGCAUUUCAUGCUUGGACCACCUCAGCAAGAAAACCGGGCACUCACUAAAGUAACACACCCUACAAAUAAACACCCCUCUUCCUCCCACGAGCUUCCCAAGGUUGCAGAGAGGAGCACAGGAGGUCUCCUAAGCAUAGGAAUGCUGCCUACAGUAAUCUGACAUCAGAAGUUACCAUUCAGAGCACUUUUUUUUCUUUUCUGAGUUUGUCUCUCUGAUCUCAUAUAUAUUUUUGAAGUUUUUGUGACGGAAAUUUUCAAGCAUACACUAACGUAGAGAAAAUAGUAUUUUGAAAAACUGGGUAUCUAGACCUGGCUUCAGUAAUUUCUGCCUUGGAGCACCUAGGGUGGCUCAGUUGGUUAAGCAUCUGAGUCUAGAUUUUGGCUCAGGUCAUG